UCUCUCUCUCUCCCUCCUCGAAUUCGCUACAUCGACGUCGGUCUCUCUCUUUCUAUCUCUCUCUCUCUCUCUCUUUCUUUAUACUACUGUCUCUCUGCAUACACCUCUCUUUCUCUUUCUCUCUUUCUUUCUCUUUCUCGCUCACUCCACAAGCAGCAAAGCAGUAGAGUCGCGACCUCCCUCUCGCUCCCGGCCGGCCUUUCCGGUACUACGAGACCGGCGCUCUAGCGAGGUUACACGGCGCCUCGUUGCCCGCGGCAGUGGUACGUGGACCGGAGGAGUGUCGCUAGCACGACGACGCCGCGAGCGGACGCGUCACGCUAACCGCGCGCGAUCCUGUGGAUCGCCGAAAGGAUCUAAAAGGAUCCCCACGCGAUAGAAAGUGUAUUAUACCUAUCGAUGUAAACGUGAUCGAUCUUACUCCAACUCGUCCAGUGACAGUGUUUUGUUCUUUAGUAAUAAUAAUUCUUCCUUCUCCUCCUUCUCUUCCUCUUUCUACUCCUCUUCUCUUUUCUCUCUCUCUCUCUCUCUUUUUCUCUUUUUAAAUCCUCUGAUCUUGAGAGAAUAGUCUUUUCGAUCGGUGUUGUAAUAUUUAUACGAAGACUUCGUAGUCCGUCGACAACGAAUCUUUGAGGAACGAAAACAUUCUGCUACUCUGUGAGGAAUCAUGACCUAGGCCUGAUCUCUUGGUGUUGGUUCGGUGGCUGCCGGUUAUAUCGAAUCAGUUCGUUGCUGUAUUAUAUCGUCUUCGAAGAGACAGAUCAAACAGAAACGAUCACGACGGAAUCGUCCUAUCGUCAUCUUCAUCAUCUUCAUCGUCAUCUUCUUUUAUAUCGCCGUCAUCGUUAUUCUACUUCAUUGUCGGCAGUGUCGAGUUUGUGCAGGUGUGCGUUUUGUUUGAUACGUGACAAGUGUCGCUACACCGUCGUCGACGUGCCGAACGCGAUACCGACGCACGGGCAGAAUGAUAUGAGUACGUUUGGCAGUAGGUACGCAUCAACGAGCCAUGUGUCUACGAACGAUGGAAAUGAGACAGAGGGAUUCGGGACGAUUAGAACGAACGAGAGGGAGAACGAGAGAGAAAGAGAGAAGGGGAAACACAACUACGGGAAGGGUGUCAAAGUGAGAGAGGAAACGCAUCUGACCCAGUGACCCUUCUUGCUUCGACCUCUCCUCUUGCCUUCCUUCCGCCAGAUUCCACACUCCUUCGGGCUUCUAAGCCCUCACACACGACCCUUUCGAAAUCCUCCAACUCCUCUUUCUCGAGGGAUCCUACAAAACUCCGACAAAAUUUCACGAGAAAUCUAAGAAAUCAUUUAUUUUCGCUUCAUCAUCCUUUGAUUAAUGAGUUAAGAGAUGUAA